UAUUAAAUUUGCUCUCUAUCUCUCCAACUCUCCCUCUCUCUCUCUCUGACACUUUCUCUCUCUCUCUCUCUCUCUCUCUCUCUCUCUCUCUCUCUCUCUCUCUCUCUCUCUCUCUCUCUCUCACUUCCCAGAGUAAAGAGUGUGAGACAUCACAGCGAGAAUGCAAUUCCAAAUCUGUAACAUGUAAUUUUACGCUAUCAGAAGGAGAGACACGUUCAAUCUCAGUCUUUAAUUAGAUCUCUGGCAACGAAGGGUUUAUUUUGGAUACAGGCAGAGGAAGCUCAGCGAAAGCUUAAGAGACAGAAUGGAGAGGACCCAGCCCUGCCUCCAUUCUGCCCACUGUUUGCCAGCUUGGGAAACAUUCUGCAGUGUGACGUGCUGCUUGGCAUGCUGGGAGCUGUGCUGCAGUGGGCUAUGGAGCGCAGUGGAGGACACUGGUCUGAGUCCAUGCUGCAGAGGGUAAAUGUUUGGAUGUUUUGUUAAAAUGACAUGAUAGUGUAGUAAAUUCAACAAAAUUCCACUUGCUAUGCUGUGUUCAUGAGCAUCACUUUUUAAUGACUGAGUAGUGUUCACAAUUCUGUAUGUGUGUGUUGCUACAGGUGCUGCACUUGAUAGGCAUGGCUCUGCUGGAGGAGCAGCAACAGCUAGAGAACAUUGGGGAUGACGAUGAAGUUACUUUCAACUUCACCCUCAAAAUCUCCCCGUGUAUGAAGCAGUGCUGCACGGAGCAGAUGACGGAAUGUCUGGACUGGAUUAUGGCUGAAUGUAAGAAUUUGUAUUCAAAAUUUCUGCAGAGUAUGGCGAUCUCCUUCAUACAGAAGUCAGAUGGUUGAGUAGGAGUAAAGUACUUCACCGUUUUAUUUCCUUGGUGAGUGAAAUUACGGCUUUAAUGGAACUGGGGGGGGGCGACACUAACCUGUUGUCUGAUGGCUGCUUGAUCUUGCAUUCUUGGCUGAUGUGACAGAGAAACUGAAUCAGCUCAAUCUUCAGUUACAAGGUAAAGACAAAACCAUAUGUGAUAUGAUCAGUGCUGUGAAGGUAUUUAAAGCAAAACUGUCAUUUUACCUUCAGCAAUUGAAAAACAAAAGAUUGCAACACUUCCCGUCAUUGGUAAAGAUAGAAAGAAAGCCAUGCAAAUGCAACCAAAGUUUUGGAUGUACUCGAGUAUUGUGACCUCCUGUCCAGGCUUGGGCAGGAAUCUGAGGAAAGGUUCAGUGAUUUUGAAAAUCUUGAGAUAUGUGUGGCAUUUGUUGCCAAGUCUUUCAUGGAGAUAGACAUGGAUCACAUUUCAAAGCAGAUGGCUGAACAAAAGUUUAACUAUGUGCUCUUCUCAUCAGCAGACCAUAGGCAACAGCUAAAGGGUGUUUCUGUCGUGGUUUCUGUAAUGUAGUGGUUAUCACGUUUGCUUCACACGCAAAAGCUCCCUGGUUCGAGACUGGGCAGAAACAAGCUAGCAAUUUUGAUCUAUGCUUUAAUAACUGACCGGUUGUCAUCACCGUAGGAUCAGGUCCUCUAGGAACAGCCGGAAAGCGAGACCUUGGACAGAGCAGAUUUCCUUCUUUUGUGCCUUUGUAGCAAAGCAGUUAACAUUUGCUUACAAAAUGAAAGGGAGUCUCUGGUUUUCUACAGAAAGUGGAAGCCUGGCUCUUUCGUUGCUCAAUAAGACUCUGAACGUGACUGGAAAAUUUUCCAUAAAG